CACGGCUGACACUGCGUUGCCGGAGGCCCUGGCGAAAACCAAAACGAGAAGUGAUUUGAUUGGUCGCAUGAAAACAAUGGAAUGCGGAAAUUGAACACGAACUUUUACUAAUAAAUAUGGCUGACUAUAGGAGUAGAUAGGAGUGUAUUAACUCUUCAAAGAAGACGAAGAGUCGUUUUGGUCGUUGAAAUCUGCUGUCUAUCAAUGGAAAUUUUAUUUUUAAUAUAAAAAAUGUUGGAUGUUGUGUCACAAUGUAUUAAAAAGCUGCACAAAAUUGGACAUUGGAUUAUUUAAAGAUUGAAAUCGCUGAAGCUGAAGGGACUUAGGGACAUUUUAUAUUAGUUUUAUAUACGAGAUUUAAUUAUAUACAGAGUACAAACAAAGACAGGCGAAAGGCUAUGCGAGAAAGACUGUACCGUUAAUUGUACAAAUCUACAAAAAUUGUGAGUGAUGUCUUGCAUCUUUCAAUUACAAAUGAGAAAAUCCUGAUCGUGAAUGAGUAUCUGUGUGGUUGUUCAUUGCAAGAGGGGUAUAUUAUAUUAAAUAUAGUAUAUUAUAAAAUAUGAGUUAUUUUAUAAUAUACUCUAUUUAAUAGACAUACUUUAUUGAUUUUAUAUCAAUUUCAUCAAAGGCUC